AAAAAGAGAAAGAGAAAAAGGGAAAGGAGAAAGGAGAAGGAAGAAAAGGGGAAGAAGGGCGGUUUUGACCCCAUUUUCGUUAGGGAAUCGAUUUUUUGGGCGUGCAUUAUCCGUGGGAGGAGGACAACCAAGCUUUUUGAGGGUUUUCGUUAUUUGGGACAAGCUUCAGGGGAGUGAGUGGAAAAUCCAAAACCCUAACUUUUAUUUUUAGCAAAAAAAUAAAUAAAUAAUUUACUCUAGUAUAAUAAAUGUUUUAUUUUUCUUAAAUCCUUUGAUUUUUGUUAUGGAAAUGUGUUUAAUACAAAAUUAUCAUUUAGAUUUGACAAUGAUUGGAUUUCGAUAUGUCUUGAGCAAGAAUUAUUGAUAAUACAAAAAUUUGGCUAAAUUGUUAUUAAAACUUGUAUUUUUAGCCUCAUAUUGUAUUAUUGUGAUUUAAUAUAAUGUUAUAUGUUUCUCUGUAAAUGAAGGCAUGAGAUUUAUGAAAAAUUGUGAGUUGAAAGCAUGUAUAUUGAUAAUAGUAGUUUCAAACCACCAUAUAUAGUAUCCAUCCCCCUCAUGAUAUUGAUUUGAUCCUACAUAUGCGUAUAGUUGUUAUUUGUCGGCCUAAGUGGGUCAAAGGCCUGAGCAAGACAGAUAUCAUUACAUUAGAUUGAUUUUGUCGCCCAAGUGGGUCGAAGGCCAGAGCAAGGCAGAUAUCGCUACAUUAGAUUGUUUUUGCCAGUCCAAGGGGGUUGAAGGCCUAAGUGAGGCAGAUAUUGCUAGACAUGAUAUGUGGUACCGACUCGAGUGAUGCAUGGUCUCGUUGGGUCGAAGGCUUGAGUGGUGACUGAUUCUGCCUAGCAGGAUAAAUUUUGCAUUCAAUCUGCACGAUGUUAGACCUUGCCGGGUUGGAUGGGUUCAUAUCUAGGUACUAGUUAUGGUCAAGAAGAGGAUCGUGUAGAAGAGUGAUAUUCGCUCGAGGUUGAGCCACACGACUUCAUUUUGUUAAAUGUGUAACUGAUGGAUUUUACUUUUGUAUCACAUA